GAAUGGUCCAAAGGUAGUGAGUUAUCCCAAUUGAUUGUUCACAGGCAGUUACAGAUCAAACUCCUUGUUCUACCCUUUCCCCACUUCUCACUACUGCACUUGACUAGACUUAA
ensembl:misc_RNA Y_RNA Y RNA